CGGACUGUAGGCUGCAACUCGCCUACACGAAGCUGGAAUCGCUAGUAAUCGCGGAUCAGCACGCCGCGGUGAAUACGUUCCCGGGCCUUGUACACACCGCCCGUCACACCAUGAGAGUCGGGAACACCCGAAGUCCGUAGCCUAACCGCAAGGGGGCGCGGCCGAAGGUGGGUUCGAUAAUUGGGGUGAAGUCGUAACAAGGUAAC
rnacentral:rRNA from 1 species